UCAGAACCGAUGGCCCGAUCAUCAUGGAGUCGUGCUCCGAUAAGCCCAACAAGGUCGUCUUUCGGCUUUCGCCGUCUAAAGAAACCCUAACUGCGCAGCUCCUGCUCCUUUAUAUUCGUAAGCCUGGUCUUCUUCAACCAAGGUGCAGGUCUUCUUCCCAAUCUAUCGAUAUGCUGUGUUUAUAAGCGAAUUGGGGUAAUGGAACAGCGUUGUUCAACAGAGUAGUUCGGAAUUAAUUAUGCUUGUACGAGGAGCUGAAAUCAAUGACCUCGUAUGGACUUGGUAAACAGGAUGAAUAGUCCGUGAUCGCUACUGUCACCCAUUAAUUCCGAAGAAAACGACGCUUGCAAAUGGAUCUCAUCCUUCGCCUGACAUGCACGUGCACUGUCUCACGCCGUCGAACACCGGUGACUUUCCGGCGCGGCGAGUCGUAGCCAUCGCUCCAGUCUCUCGGUUCUUUACAGGCGUAGACUUCACCGCUUGCAACUUAUAAGCAUUUUACAUAGUGGUUGUGGUCUCAUAAAUUAAAGCAUUUUGUAUUAAAAAACGCUGUAGAUUCUGUUUCCAUUGGUGUACUAAUAAUUUUUGGACUUGACCAUUUCAACUCCAGAACUUCAAAUGAAGGCUGUACUCUUCAAACUAGUAAAUACAUGUACCAUCAUUGUGGACCUCAUAACUUUGACA